AGUCUCCAAUUUAUUUGAAUGGCUUUUAAGAAGCAGAAGGCCAGGUUGUAACAUGAGGUGUAGGACAAGCAUGAGCAGUGAGAGGGAUCCACGCUGACAAGCACGUAGCACCCUUUGUCAUGGGACUGGGUGAACGCGCUAGGAAAAGCAUGGGCAGUCUCAGCACAGGCAAAGGAAGUCCCUAGAUGAAGAAGCACAAGCUCCACCUGCUUAAGGAGGCACUUAAGAGGUUUACCGUGGAGAGCAACCCAGAGAAGCUAGAUUAGAAGGAAAACCAGGGCAGCCCAUGUUUAUAAAAGACAGAAGUAGAGCAAAUGGUAUAAAAUAGGGCUUCUGACAGGUAGAUACAAGCACAUUAAUGUGUAGAGGUUUCAUCUGACUUGUUUUUUUGUUGGUGGGGGGACAUUUAUUCCUCCAUAUCCACAGCAUGCAGAAGUUCCCGGGACUUAAAACCCCCACCACAGCAGUGACAACACUGAAUCCUUAACCACUAAGGCCACCAGGGAACUCCAGAGGCUUCAUUUUAAAUACUGUUCUAAAUUGAGGGUAUCGAGAUGCUUUUCAGUAGAAACUUGAAUUAAGGACAUGUGUGCUAUUAAGUUAAUAAAGAAGUUUGUCUGUACACAGUUUAAAACAGGGGAUGAGCGUGGUUAUCUCCAAGGUCUCAAAAAGAUCCAAACUCUGUGAGUCUGAGUGUAACAUCCUCACCCUCAGAGUUUCUUGGGUCUGAAAAACCCGAUUCACUGGGCCUGGGCCAGAGGGUGCAAACUGGAAAUUCAAAGGCUGGAUUUAGCCUGCAAGAUGUGUUUUAUUUGGCAUGCACAGUGUUUUCUCAAUUCAAAAUAGUUGCCAACAUUGAAAAGUCCAGAUUUCCAGCUUCUCUUGGAAAACGGGGUGGAACAUCCGGCAACAGCAGCCCACAUUCCCACACGGCAGCAACCGUGUCAGACGACAGCAUAUGUGUUGUCCGUUUUGCAACUAUCCUUACCUAAUCCUCUUUGCUCAUUGACGUCUCCUGCCCGACACCAGAGUUUGUGGCCUGGUCAGGGUGUCCAGUCUAUGUGGAUCUCAUGAUUUUCUACCUGGUGCAGCUACAAGCAUAGCCUUGGGGCUUUUACCCUAAUUCUGUAGCUGACCCAUCUUAACAGUUGGCCCAUGUAGGUGUAUUCACCUGCAGGCCAGGAGUGUGGGAGCCAAGGGUCCCAUCUGCAGAGUUUUGGUUUAUCUUACAGUAACUGAAAAGUUGCCAGUUCGAUUUCAGUUUUGUAAACUGAAUCCCAGAGGCCUCUUGGGGAUGGCUCAUCAGGCAGAUACUUCCUGAUCAAGGCCAAGGGUAAGUCACUUCUGGGCCAGACUAGAACACCCAAGCAGAGGAAGGAAUCCCAGUCUAGGCUGGGCUGGGCCAGGAAGGCAGGAAAGAAGGCAGCUUUCCUAGCCAUGGCCAUGAGGUGACCAGGGCAGCUAUGUACAGUUAGGUUUUAAAGGUGCCAAGGAGGUGUCACUCACACCUCCUUGAUAUGGCUCUAUUUGCAUUUGCACAGUGCACUGUCUGCUCAACUGUACAUGUGGGCCCCAAGACUGUCAAGGGGAGGGAAGAAACAAAUAGAGAUGGUGAGGCAAGUGCAGCCAAAAGUGAUUCUACCAGUUUGUCCCCAAGACUGCAGGGAUGAGGGGUGGAAGGCAGAGGGUUAGAAGCCAAGACCCUGCUGGCCAGAGACUAAAAGCUGGAGAGAUAGAAAAGGGGCCUGGCCUCAGAGGACCCCACACUGCACAUGCGUAAAUGCCCAUGAGAUGAUAGGAAGAGCCAGCAGUAAUCCCAGGAAGCAGGGCUGGCCAUCAGUACGUGGGGCCCAGGACCCUUACUUAACAGAGAUAACCGUCCUGCGCGCGCGCGCGCGCGCGCACACACACACACACACACACACACACAGACAUCAGCAGAGAUAUCUGCCUAUUACACACACCCACAAAAACAUGCACACAUGCAGUUUUUACCCUGUUGCACACUCACAUGAAAUGUGCCUAUACAAGCAAUCACAUGAUUGUUGGUAAGAGCAAUCAGCUCACCACACAGGUAUGUUAGCAAACAUUUCCAGAGCACCGAAAGUCCUUUUUGUCCAAGCUACCUGCAGGCGUCCAGCACAGCACCAAGUAACGUGGAAGGAGAGAAAAAUAACAACCAGUGAAAUAUAACUGUUACUGAAGCCAGCAGCUGAGCCUUGGCCUGCAGCGCCACCUACUGGUAGGAGGGGUACUUUGUACUUUGCUUGAAGAUUGGGUGAAACCUGGGACACUGCUUCUCAGGCAGCUCCUUCUAAGAAAGUCACCAACAAGAUGCUCUUCUCCUUCCUCUUUGUGUUCUGUCCGAGUGGGGUGAGACCCUGGAAUCCUUGGGGUUUCAGCACAGCAAUGGAGAAUGAAUUUUCAGGGCCUCACACACUGCCCCUGGAGAGCAAUAUCCAACACCAACAGAGACGGCAAAUAGGCUCUUCGUCGCUCAUGCCAGCUCCAACCCACUAGUAGUGGCUGGCUGGAAUGCUGGGUCAAGGAGGAUCCUGAGGCCAAGUCUGGGCUUCACAUGGAAGACUGCCAUGAUGGAACAGCGCCAGCCACCACGGCUGUGGGCAGGACUACUUCUACACGUGCCAGUCCCUAAAUCUGAUUUCUCCAGAUCCACACUUCCACCGUGAUGGGGUAUGUAUGUGUUUAUUGCUCACUACCUCACCGCACAAGAAAACUGCCAUUUCUGACUUUACCAGAGUUUUACCUCUCACUUGAUCGGUAACUUCUGAGCCGGCUACUGUCUUCCUUUGGGACCAUCUUCGUGAAGAGCUUCUUCUUGCUUCCACAGGGAGCAUAUGGAUGACUCGUUAGAUCUGAGUCCUUUUUUUCUUUUUUGUCUUUUGGGCUGCAUCCAUGGCAUGUGGAAGUUCCCAGGCUAGGGGUCAAGUUGGAGCUGUAGGUGCCAGCUUACACCACAGCCACAGCAACGCCAAGAUUCAAGCUGCAUCCGCAACUACACCAAAGCUCGCGGCAAUGCUGGAUCCUUUAACCCACUGAGUGAGGCCAGGGAUGGAACUCGCAUCCUCAUGGAUACUAGUUGGGUUCUUAACAACAGGAACUCCCAGAUCUGAGCCCGUAAGUCCGCAUGGGGCACUUCACUUUAUCCAAAACUAAUAUUUAGCUAAGGCACAUCCAAAAGCACUUAUUACUUCCCAAGAGGCCCUGAGAGGGCAAUGACGAGCUGAGAACAGCAGAGCCAUGCCAAGCAGAUGCUGGACAGCAUGCUAGGCUCAGCCCUCGCCAGGGGUCCCACUCCCUGCCCCUCACCCAGCAGCUUGGGAGAGCACACUCAAAUCAAAUGCAUGCAUCAACAUUCCAAAUUACAACGGGCCACAGGUCACUUGAACACCAUCAAACCUUGAAAUCUUCAAUCCCCAGAUGCCAAGGGUCUGCUGUGUUUAGCAUCAAGGUUCUCAGUUGGUGCCUGUAAUCCCAGCCUGCAGAUGGGCACGGAACCCCCUCGUGCUGCCCCCUCUGCAGCUGAGCCAGCCUCUACCUCCAAAUGUUUAGGUGGAUGGAAGCUGGUUUCCCCACAGGUGGGGGAUGUUUGCCUUAACCCAGGGGGUCAGCAGACUUUUUCCGCAAAGAGCCAGAGAAAUAUUCCCAGCUCCUUGGUCUCUGUUGAAACGGUUCAACUCUGACACUGAAUUCAAAAGCCCAAGACCUAUGUAAACAAAUGGGCAUGGCUAUAUUCCAAUAAAAGCUUCUUUACAAAGAUAGGGGUGGGCUCGAUUUGGCCCAAGGAGCCACAGUUUGCCAAACCCAGCAUCGGCCCAGUAUAAACUGGGGUUGUCUGGAGGUACUUCAGGGCUCUGCAAAGGUUUGGCCUUCGUUUCAGUUCUUAGCUCUUUAGGAAGCUGGUAACAAAAAUGUACCCAUUUAAGUCUAUCAUGGCAUUUUAACGUACAAGAAGUCAACAUGUUGAGAGACUGUGAGCUGAACACCUUUGCUGUGAAGCUCUUUUGGCCACUUCUCUGCACAUGGAUGGGCCAUAUGGUGGAAGAGUUGAGCAACUGAGUCUCAGCAUCAGACACACGUGAGCUUGAGUCCUCCUGCUGCCACUUAUUAGCUGUGUGACUUUGGGCAACUGACGUUACCUCUCUCAACCAGCAUGGCCACAGGGCACCACCAAACAGAGCAGACACUGGCCACCAUGCUGGCACGGCCUCCUAGAGGCCCUUUGUUCCUGGGUUGUAGGAAGAUGGAGGGGCCAGGGUGGCUGAGGCUGUGGGGGUAGGGGGUCCUCAGAGACUCAAGCCAGCGCUACUUACAACCAUUAUGGAGGCAUUUCAAUAUUUUAAUCACUCAUUUGGCUGGACUGAUGCACACCAGUUGAAUAGCAUUAGAAUGCUGGAUCCAUCUUGGAUUUAAACUUCUUGCUGGUGUUGACUUCUUCUGCUGCUUCCCCAUCAUUCUGAUUGGGCUCUCAGGAAGGGGAUGGGGCUGUUUUGCAGUGACCUUGGCAGUCUCAGUGCAUAGUAACAGGGCUUCUGUUUUCCUAAGUGGCAGUUUCCAUUGGGUCUGGGACUUGGUUGGCAAGCAUUUCCUGGGACAUGUUGUGCAGGAGUCAUUGCGGUGCGAGGCUUUGGGUUCAGCAUGUCAGGAGCGGUGGCUCCUCUGCCCCAGUGCUGCAGUCUGCAGCUGGGCCUGGCACUUUGGUGCACCUCUGGUUUUUUCAUUUGCCUGCUGAUACAAUAAACAAUGUCCUUCUCCCCAGGACGCUUCCUCACCACUUGAAACAAUCAGAAGGUGUGUCUGGCAGCUGCCUGCACCUGCCCCCAGGACUUCUGGCCUUUGAUUCCAGCCACUGAAAGCUUCCCCCCCCCACCCCCACCCCCUAGGGCUGAAAUGUUCAUUUAUGGUUUCAAUAAUAGUUUGGACACUGGCGUCUCUCAUGGCCCAGGGCUGUCCAAAUCUAUUAACAGUGCUCCAGUGAAAUACACAGAUUUGCUACACCUUAUUUUGCUGCUUCCCACAUCAUACUCUCCUGCUUCCUGAGACAGCCGGCAGAAUCAACGAUGUUUCUUGAGAGGCCCCUGGGGCAGGACCUCUUGGUAUCUGAAUCUCUGGGAUUCAUCUUAAUUAGGUGACAUCCGGUGCUGCCCUCACAGUGCAUGUGUCCACCCCAGGGGUUGAGUUUCCUCUCUCACUUCCUUUUCAUUUCCUCGAAGCUCUUCUUAAGUCUUGCAGCAUCUCUGGCCAAGCCUAGAGCUUUGGCAGAGGGAAGAUCUCCCAGCCAGGCCCUCUGCCUGAGGUCUCCUCUGUUGGCCAGAAGGGUCGUGACUGUUGAUGGCAAUGGCCUUGUGCAAAGGCAUCCUUGUCACUUGCACUUCCCCUGAUAAGGUGUCCACAGCCGCGGCCUUUGUCCAGCCACCCGGCACAGCGUUGCCCACCACAACAGCCAACCUCUCGGUGGCUCCAGCACUGACAGAGGAAGCCCAGCCAGGGACUCUUCUCACCCAAACUGUUGCUCAUUUCGCUUUGUUCUCCCUCCUGGACUAUCUUCCUGACACGACCAUCUGCCCUACACUGCCCAGAACCUGUGCCCCUUCAGACCCUGGGCCGAGUCCUCAAAAGAACACAGGUCAGGCCCCAGGUAGCCUGUCAGCCCUUCUCCUGUCCCCCGCCAGCGUUCCAGCUCCCCUGCACACACCUCCAGGCUCCUGCCCCCUCCGAUGAUACCUUUGGCUUUCUUCAUCAAGAUGUCACGGCUAGGACCAGAUGUCACAGCUAGGACUCUCCAAGGGCACUGGGCAAUCCGAUCCCAUCACGACAUCUGCUCACCCCUUUGGGUCUUCCUGAGGGAGCCACCUCCCUCUGAGAGAGCCAGGCUGGUCAGCAAAGGAGGAGGCUGUCAAGCAGUGAGAAUCCUUCCCUGCAAGUGGUGACAAAGGGGCUGCAGGGGCUCCUGCAGGGAUGGAGAGUUUGCCAAUGCACCGCAGGGGAAGGCCACCUCUUCCUGGAGUCCCUGGCACAGCAUCUUAGUGACAAACAGCUCACUACCUUCACCCACAAUUCCACACAUUUCAGCUCCUUCCUCUCUAAGCGGUCACUGCCUCAGACCAGACCUCCCCACGCCUCCUUUAUCUCUCCAGGCAGCCCUUCCCUUGGGCUCAGCCUGAACGACUUCCCAUUUCAGCCACUGAGCUUUCUUCCCCUGCAUUUGAGCUCACAACAGUAAACCCCAAGUCUCUACCCCCUCCCCCGCUAGCAGAGCUGCUUGGCAGUCCAGCAGGGUGCAGUCACCGAGGGAGUGAGGGUUGAGGUGAGGGGGUUGGCGGGCAGGAACAACUGAGCUUUGGCUUAAAAGCAAAAGCAGAGGAAGCACUAGCAGGCCCACUAAAGCUCCUUCCCAGGGAGGGCCUGCAGUGCCCCCUGGUGGCCAGAGGAGAGUUUGCAUGCAGGUUAAGUUCUUCCAUUCCCCCCGCCUUCCCCCCCCCCCCCCCCCCCCCCCCCCCCCCCCCGCCCCCCCCGGACCCCUGAGGACUCAGAUGAGGGGAUGGCAGGAAGCAGAUAGAUCAUCUUGCCCAGUGGUUUCCAAACGUGUAAAAUUGUAGGGAAGGUUGCUGUGGAUGACCGUGCGUCUUGCCCAUUUGACAAAGGCCUCUGGGCUGAGGCGUCAGUAGGGGCUGAAAUCUCGCCUAUGUCCUGCUAACCAAGCUGGGUACCCCAGCAUGGUCUGGGUCACCCAGAGGAAGGGGCGUCUUUUCAUGAUCAUUCUGGA
rnacentral:lncRNA from 1 species